rnacentral:rRNA from 1 species
AGUGAACGCUGGCGGUAGGCCUAACACAUGCAAGUCGAACGGCAGCACAGUAAGAGCUUGCUCUUACUGGUGGCGAGUGGCGGACGGGUGAGGAAUACAUCGGAAUCUACUUUUUCGUGGGGGAUAACGUAGGGAAACUUACGCUAAUACCGCAUACGACCUACGGGUGAAAGCAGGGGAUCUUCGGACCUUGCGCGAUUGAAUGAGCCGAUGUCGGAUUAGCUAGUUGGCGGGGUAAAGGCCCACCAAGGCGACGAUCCGUAGCUGGUCUGAGAGGAUGAUCAGCCACACUGGAACUGAGACACGGUCCAGACUCCUACGGGAGGCAGCAGUGGGGAAUAUUGGACAAUGGGCGCAAGCCUGAUCCAGCCAUACCGCGUGGGUGAAGAAGGCCUUCGGGUUGUAAAGCCCUGUUGUUGGGAAAGAAAAGCAGCAGGUUAAUACCCCGCUGUUCUGACGGUACCCAAAGAAUAAGCACCGGCUAACUUCGUG